rnacentral:rRNA from 1 species
GACGAACGCUGGCGGCGUGCUUAACACAUGCAAGUCGAACGAAGAGCGAUGGAAGCUUGCUUCUAUCAAUCUUAGUGGCGAACGGGUGAGUAACGCGUAAUCAACCUGCCCUUCAGAGGGGGACAACAGUUGGAAACGACUGCUAAUACCGCAUACGAUCUAACCUCGGCAUCGAGGAUGGAUGAAAGGUGGCCUCUAUUUAUAAGCUAUCACUGAAGGAGGGGAUUGCGUCUGAUUAGCUAGUUGGAGGGGUAACGGCCCACCAAGGCGAUGAUCAGUAGCCGGUCUGAGAGGAUGAACGGCCACAUUGGGACUGAGACACGGCCCAGACUCCUACGGGAGGCAGCAGUGGGGAAUCUUCCGCAAUGGACGAAAGUCUGACGGAGCAACGCCGCGUGAGUGAUGACGGCCUUCGGGUUGUAAAGCUCUGUUAAUCGGGACGAAAGGCCUUCUUGCGAAUAGUUAGAAGGAUUGACGGUACCGGAAGAGAAGGCCACGGCUAACUACGUG